rnacentral:rRNA from 1 species
CGUGUAGGCGGCCCGGUAAGUCCGCUGUGAAAGUCGGGGGCUCAACCCUCGAAUGCCGGUGGAUACUGUCGGGCUAGAGUGCGGAAGAGGCGAGUGGAAUUCCUGGUGUAGCGGUGAAAUGCGCAGAUAUCAGGAGGAACACCGAUUGCGAAGGCAGCUCGCUGGGACGUAACUGACGCUGAGACGCGAAAGCGUGGGAGCAAACA